rnacentral:rRNA from 1 species
AUUGAACGCUGGCGGCAGGCCUAACACAUGCAAGUCGAACGGUAACAGGAAACAGCUUGCUGCUUUGCUGACGCGUGGCGGACGGGUGAGUAGUGUCUGGGGAAAUGCACGAUGGAGGGGGAGAACUACUAGAAACGGUAGCUCAUAUAGCAUAACGUCGCAAGACGAAAAAGGAGGGGCUUCGGGGCUCUUGCCCUCUUGUGUGAGCAGAUGGGAUUAGCUAGUAGGUGGGGUAACGGCGCACCCAGGCGACGAUCCCUAGCUGGUCUGAGAGGAUGACCAGCCACACUGGAACUGAGACACGGUCCAGACUCCUACGGGAGGCAGCAGUGGGGAAUAUUGGACAAUGGGCGCAAGCCUGAUGCAGCCAUGCCGCGUGUAUGAAGAAGGCCUUCGGGUUGUAAAGUACUUUUGGCGGGGAGGAAGAGAGUAAAGUUAAUACCUUGGCGCAUUGACGGUACCCGCAGAAGAAGCACCGGCUAACUCCGUG